UCAAAUUGGUGCAUCGAGAAG
ensembl:piRNA 21ur-10401 ncRNA